rfam:Actinomyces massiliensis F0489 contig00180, whole genome shotgun sequence.
CCGAAGCCGCGGACCCCCAACAUCGAUCCUCCCCAAUCCGCCUUUGUGGUGGUUGGGCAGGGGUUGGGGGUGGUAGGGGAGCGUCCUGCACUGGGUGAAGCCUGGGGGUGACCCACGGGUGGACGGUGCGGGAGUGAGAAUGCAGGCAUGAGUAGCGAUGACUAGGGUGAGAAGCCCUAGCGCCGAGAGACCAAGGGUUCCAGGGCCAGGCUAGUCCGCCCUGGGUGAGUCGGGACCUAAGGCGAGGCCGACAGGCGUAGUCGAUGGAUGACGGGUUGAUAUUCCCGUACCGGCGAAGGACCGACCAUGCUGACGCGCGGGUGCUAACCCACGCUGCCGGCCCAUAAUUGUGGCCGCACCUGACCAUGUGUGGUGGGUGUGGCUGGUGUGGCUGGUGGUCUGGGGAUCCUCCGUGCUGGUAGGCAAGCGUGUUAACAGGGGUGACGCACAGUGGUAGCCCGGCGGGCCUAAUGGCUUGGCCUGUUCAAGCGCGCAGCCCGGUCCCUAGGUAAAUCCGGGGACCAGCCCUUCAAUAAGGGCGGGGGUGAGGCGUGAUGGUGACCGGUAGCCGUGUGCUGCUGGGAUAACAGGGUGAUCCUGGGGUGCCGAGAAAAGCCUCGACGCGAUGGUCUAAGCCGCCCGUACCCGAAACCGACACAGGUGGUCCGGCAGAGUAUGCCUAGGCGAACGAGUGAACCGUGGUGAAGGAACUCGGCAAAAUGCCCCCGUAACUUCGGGAGAAGGGGGGCCCGGACCCUGAAGCAGCCAGCCUGCUAGGGGUGAGGGCCGCAGAGACCAGGGGGGAGCGACUGUUUACUAAAAACACAGGUCCGUGCGAAGCCGUAAGGCGAGGUAUACGGACUGACGCCUGCCCGGUGCUGGAAGGUUAAGAGGAUCCCUCAACCCCACCCGUGGGGUGAAGGGGUGAGUUCAAGCCCCAGUAAACGGCGGUGGUAACUAUAACCAUCCUAAGGUAGCGAAAUUCCUUGUCGGGUAAGUUCCGACCUGCACGAAUGGCGUAACGACUUCCCCACUGUCUCCACCACGGGCUCGGCGAAAUUGCAUUACGAGUAAAGAUGCUCGUUACGCGCAGAAGGACGGAAAGACCCCGGGACCUUUACUAUAGCUUGGUAUUGGCGUCCGCCAUGGUUUGUGCAGGAUAGGUGGGAGACUGUGAGACCGCCACGCUAGUGGUGGUGGAGUCAUUGUUGAGAUACCACUCUGGCUGUGGCGUGCGCCUGAACCUCGGCCCGUGAUCCGGGUCAGGGACAGUGCCUGGUGGGUAGUUUAACUGGGGCGGUUGCCUCCUAAAAAGUAACGGAGGCGCUCAAAGGUUCCCUCAGCCUGGUCGGUAACCAGGUGGCGAGUGCAAGUGCACAAGGGAGCUUGACUGCGAGACCGACACGUCAAGCAGGUACGAAAGUAGGAACUAGUGAUCCGGCGAUCCCGUGUGGAUGGGUCGUCGCUCAACGGAUAAAAGGUACCCCGGGGAUAACAGGCUGAUCCUGCCCAAGAGUCCAUAUCGACGGCAUGGUUUGGCACCUCGAUGUCGGCUCGUCGCAUCCUGGGGCUGGAGCAGGUCCCAAGGGUUGGGCUGUUCGCCCAUUAAAGCGGUACGCGAGCUGGGUUUAGAACGUCGUGAGACAGUUCGGUCCCUAUCCUCUGCGCGCGCAGGAGACUUGAGAAGGCCUGUCCCUAGUACGAGAGGACCGGGACGGACGAACCUCUAGUGCGCCAGUUGUCCCGCCCGGGGCACCGCUGGUUAGCCACGUUCGGACACGGAUAACCGCUGAAAGCAUCUAAGCGGGAAACCAUCUUCAAGACCAGGUCUCCACACACCACCAUGGUGUGGAAGGCCCCCAGCAGACCACUGGGUAGAUAGGCCAGACGUGCACGAUCGGUAACGAUCGAAGCUGACUGGUACUAACCGGCCGACACAACACACACCA